GAUGAACGUUGGCGGCGUGCCUAAUACAUGCAAGUCGAGCGAACAGACGAGGAGCUUGCUCCUCUGACGUUAGCGGCGGACGGGUGAGUAACACGUGGAUAACCUACCUAUAAGACUGGGAUAACUUCGGGAAACCGGAGCUAAUACCGGAUAAUAUAUUGAACCGCAUGGUUCAAUAGUGAAAGACGGUUUUGCUGUCACUUAUAGAUGGAUCCGCGCCGCAUUAGCUAGUUGGUAAGGUAACGGCUUACCAAGGCAACGAUGCGUAGCCGACCUGAGAGGGUGAUCGGCCACACUGGAACUGAGACACGGUCCAGACUCCUACGGGAGGCGGCAGUAGGGAAUCUUCCGCAAUGGGCGAAAGCCUGACGGAGCAACGCCGCGUGAGUGAUGAAGGUCUGCGGAUCGUAAAACUCUGUUAUUAGGGAAGAACAAAUGUGUAAGUAACUAUGCACGUCUUGACGGUACCUAAUCAGAAAGCCACGGCGAACUACGU
rnacentral:rRNA from 1 species